UACAGAGGGGGCAAGCGUUGUUCGGAAUUACUGGGCGUAAAGGGCGCGUAGGCGGCCUUCUAAGUCGAACGUGAAAUCCCUGGGCUCAACCCAGGAACUGCGUCCGAUACUGGGAGGCUUGAAUCCGGGAGAGGGAUGCGGAAUUCCAGGUGUAGCGGUGAAAUGCGCAGAUAUCAGGAGGAACACCGGUGGCGAAGGCGGAUCUCUGGGCCUUACCUGACGCUGAGGCGCGAAAGCUAGGGGAGCAAACAGG
rnacentral:rRNA from 1 species